rnacentral:rRNA from 1 species
UUCUGAGCAUAUUAUCUUGAGCACACCACAUCUCACCUGAUUUUGAGAGUUAAACAAGGUUGGCCCCUGAGUUAGUAUUUAGAUAGGAGACCACCGAAGAAUAUUGGGCAUCUCUGGAC